AAUGAACGCUGGCGGCAGGCCUAACACAUGCAAGUCGAACGGAUCCUUCGGGAUUAGUGGCGGACGGGUGAGUAACGCGUGGGAACAUACCCAAAGGUACGGAAUAGCCUCGGGAAACUGGGAGUAAUACCGUAUGUGGUCGAGAGACGAAAGAUUUAUCGCCUUUGGAUUGGCCCGCGUUGGAUUAGGUAGUUGGUGGGGUAAUGGCCUACCAAGCCGACGAUCCAUAGCUGGUUUGAGAGGAUGAUCAGCCACACUGGGACUGAGACACGGCCCAGACUCCUACGGGAGGCAGCAGUGGGGAAUCUUAGACAAUGGGGGAAACCCUGAUCUAGCCAUGCCGCGUGAUCGAUGAAGGCCUUAGGGUUGUAAAGAUCUUUCAGAUGGGAAGAUAAUGACGGUACCAUCAGAAGAAGCCCCGGCUAACUCCGUG
rnacentral:rRNA from 1 species